rnacentral:rRNA from 1 species
CCUACGGGUGGCAGCAGUAGGGAAUCUUUCACAAUGGGCGAAAGCCUGACGGAGCAACGCCGCGUGCAGGAUGAAGGCCUUCGGGUUGUAAACUGCUUUUAUAAGCGAGAAAUAUGAUGGUAACUUAUGAAUAAGGAUCGGCUAACUACGUGCCAGCAGCCGCGGUCAUACGUAGGCUCCGAGCAUUAUCCGGAGUGACUGGGUGUAAAGAGUUGCGUAGGUGUCAUAAUAAGUAGCGAGUGAAAUCUGGUGGCUCAAACAUUCAGACUAUUAGCUAAACUGGUAAGCUCGAGACCGUUAGGGGUAACUGGAAUUUCUAGUGUAGGAGUGAAAUCCGUAGAUAUUAGAAGGAACACCGAUAGCGUAGGCAGGUUGCUGGGACGGUUCUGACACUAAGGCACGAAAGCGUAGGGAGCAAACGGGAUUAGAUACCCGAGUAGUC